UACAGAGGUCCCAAGCGGUGUUCGGAUUCAUUGGGCGUAAAGGGUGCGUAGGCGGCGCGGUAAGUCGGGUGUGAAAUCUCGGGGCUUAACUCCGAAACUGCAUUCGAUACUGCCGUGCUUGAGGACUGGAGAGGAGACUGGAAUUUACGGUGUAGCGGUGAAAUGCGUAGAUAUCGUAAGGAAGACCAGUGGCGAAGGCGGGUCUCUGGACAGUGCCUGACGCUGAGGCACGAAGGUCAGGGGAGCAAACGGG
rnacentral:rRNA from 1 species